GACGUAGGGCGCGAGCGUUGUCCGGAUUUAUUGGGCGUAAAGCGCGUGUAGGCGGCCCGAUAAGUCCGCUGUGAAAGUCGGGGGCUCAACCCUCGAAAGCCGGUGGAUACUGUCAGGCUAGAGUACGGAAGAGGCGAGUGGAAUUCCUGGUGUAGCGGUGAAAUGCGCAGAUAUCAGGAGGAACACCCAUUGCGAAGGCAGCUCGCUGGGACGUUACUGACGCUGAGACGCGAAAGCGUGGGGAGCAAACAGG
rnacentral:rRNA from 1 species